GCUAUUUGGUACCGCUUGCAGGGCGGCGACCACGAGUUACCUGCCCCUAUACAAUGAGUUAAUUGCCCCUGUAUUUCAUCUGUUAAGUUGUACUUAAAAUAGGCUAACUCUUGCGCAAAAAAAGAUAGAAAAUAUCAAAUAUGGGAAAGCGGGACGAUAGACCAAACAUAUAUCUACGAAGAGACCGUUGUUGGUGCCGGAAAUAUCUCUGUCUUUAGUAGUGUCCGCGAGGUAUAUUAAUUUAUAAAACAUGAGAUAUUAGUACCAUAUUGCCCGGGAAUCAAAAGAUUUUUGCAAGAUCGCAGAAUUCAGCUAGACACAAAAAAAAAAGACAAUCACUACAGCCUUCCAAGAAGAUGGACUGCCUCACAAUAGUUUCCUUGAGGACUGUCUUGAAAUAUCCAGAGUUUAAGAAGUAGACAAUUUGAAAGUGAAAAGGAAGUGCCAGGAAACGUCAGAAUGCAGGACAGAAUGCAGGAGUUGCACCAUUUACCCUACAGCUUCUGGGGGCCUAGGCCGCCCCCAACCUACUGGGAGUAACCUCUCUCUCUCUCUCUCUCUCUCUCUCUCUCUCUCUCUCUCUCAUUUCUUUGGGAUAUCAGAAAAAGAUAGCGGAUAGACGUUGUGAAAAGUAUCUAAACGAUCAAGUACUGGGACCCCCCCCCCCCCUUUCACUUCAAAAAUUCCUACACCCGCUUCUGUACAAGAUAUACUUCACAAGAGAUAGAAUCCGGCAGUAACUCGAAAAUCCAGGUUUUCUGCAACUCGUCGUAGUUACUUCAGUGUGUAAUUUUUACGACAAGUUUAAUUUUUAGUGAAUUACAUUCUCAAACAAAUGUGAUAAAAGUUGAUGAUCAGACAUCGUCAUAUUCCACUUUUCCCCUCUCUAAAUAUAACUAUGAUCAUUUGACCCAGCUGACGUUUUUGUGAGCAAAAUAUUUACGAAGGUAAUGUGACCAGGGUUAAAUACUAGAUGAUACAAAGAGAAGAAAUAAUGGAGUUUGAAUGAUAUCAAUGAUGUUUAUUUGUGUUUGAAUGCAUGAUGGUGAUCAUUGUACAUUGAUAAAGUGGCUUUUUAUAGGAUCCGAAACAGUGACAUGUGAGAAAGUUGGUUGGCGGGGAUUUCUACUUUCACUUUUGAGGAUGCAGUAAACGGACGACAGGAGGGGAAGCUGCGCAUUUCCUCGUUGGAUGAUUUGUGUACAUGUGUGGACAUGGAUGUCAUUUCAGUGAGUUCACUUGGAUUUGAGAGGCUGAGCAAAGGCACAAAGAAAUUGUUUCCUGAGUAUAGAGUCUGAAACGAGGAUAUUGCAUCAUUCCUGAUCAGGCAAGUCUGGCUUGUUCAUUUAUUUUAUUUAUCAUUUCUUUUUUCUUUUUUUUUUGAAUUAUUUUUUAUUCAUUUAUUGGUUUACAAUAUUACAGAAGGUGAAAUGUACAUGUUUAACUAUUUCUGUGUAUCAUGCAUGUGUAUUUGUUUUAAUUUUUAAUUUUCUUUGGGGGGGGGGGGGGGGGGGGCUGUUAUCAGUUUGUGUAGAGUGUCAGUUUUGUGUAUUACUUAAAGAUCAGUACCAGUGUCCUACUGUUGAACAUUGGGCAGAUAUGUAAAUUGGCACUUGGUUGGUUUAUGCAGUCCUCCUUGACAUUGACAGGGCUUUCCCAUGGAGACUGUUUUCCAAGUUAUGCUAGAGUGUCAGUCAUCUAUCUGUGUCUCGCAAGUACUUGGUGCAGACAGCUAUCAUGCUGAAUCCCGUGAAGGAAGGGGAUAUAGACUUCCUUUGGAAUGACGUACAUACUCAAUGUUGCGUCGCUUGUGGAGACCCACAUCUUGAAGAGUGACCUUGACUUUUGACCUUGACCCCAUUUUUAAAGGUCAACCACCUAAGACUUUGUGGAGGAGAAAGUGAUUUUGACCUUGACCCACUUUCAAGGUCAUUCAAGGUCAACAAUCCUAGAAUAUCAUGUGACUACUCCUAAAGAUGUAGAUGGAGGUUUAUGAUAGAAAACGUCAUUUUUUGGCCCCUAUUUGCCCCCUGGGGCCAAUAUGAAAAUUCCGAAACCUUAUUGCACAUCUACAGGACAUUACUAUUCAGCUCCUUGAAUAUCAUGUGACUAUUCCUAAAGAUGUAGAUGGAGUUAAAGUGACAAGCUUUGUGAAAGAAAACGUCAUUUUUCAGCCCCUAUUUGCCCCCUAGGGCCAAUAUGAAAAUUCCGAAACCUUAUUGCACAUCUACAGGACAUUACUAUUCAGCUCCUAGAAUAUCAUGUGACUGCUCCUACAGAUGUAGAUGGAGUUUAAGUGACAAGCUUUAUGUUAGAAAAUGUCAUUUUUCAGGCCCUAUUUGCCCCCUGGGGCCAAUAUGAACAUUCUGAAACCUUAUUGCACAUCUACAGGACUUUGCUAUUCAGCUCCUAGAAUAUCAUUUGGAUUGCGCUGUAAAUGUGGACACAGUUUUAGUGACAACAACCGGGACAGACGGACGGACGGACGGACCGGGAUAAAAACAAUAUACCCGAACUUUCUUUAGAAAGUGCGGGUAUAAUGAAGCAUUGCACAAAGUUUCAAGACUAUCCGAUAAGCCAUAUAGGAGAAGUGUUCACAAGAUUUUGUGACAGACAGAA